rnacentral:rRNA from 1 species
UACAGAGGUCUCAAGCGUUGUUCGGAUUCAUUGGGCGUAAAGGGUGCGUAGGCGGCGCGGUAAGUCGGAUGUGAAAUCUCGGAGCUUAACUUCGAAACUGCAUUCGAUACUGCCGUGCUUGAGGACUGGAGAGGAGACUGGAAUUUACGGUGUAGCGGUGAAAUGCGUAGAUAUCAGGAGGAACACCGGUGGCGAAGGCGGGUCUCUGGGCAGUAACUGACGCUGAGGAGCGAAAGCGUGGGGAGCGAACAGG